AAUCAAAGAGCAUAUAAAGAUGAGAAACAAAGGAAAUUCUACAACUAACUUUUCUGUUCUGUUCUCCAUUUAAUUUUUUAGUUCUUAGAUAAUCCUUCAAUAACAAUUCCUCUAUUGGUAAAACAGAAACUGGGAAAUGUUAAGGAGGAUAAAAGGAUAUCAAAGCAUCCAAAAUUCUGACACAGCUGUAAUUACAGUUGGAUAUAACUGAUUCUGUUAGUCAACAAUUUCAUUUUUCACUUUACUCCUAAACCAAGGCAUUUUGAAGAAGAAAAGAAAGAGAGGGGAAAAUGGAAACUUACUGCAG
rnacentral:misc_RNA from 1 species